rnacentral:rRNA from 1 species
CAGCGCCGCGGUAAUACGGAGGGUGCAAGCGUUAAUCGGAAUUACUGGGCGUAAAGCGCACGCAGGCGGUCUGUCAAGUCAGAUGUGAAAUCCCCGGGCUUAACCUGGGAACUGCAUUUGAAACUGGCAGGCUAGAGUCUUGUAGAGGGGGGUAGAAUUCCAGGUGUAGCGGUGAAAUGCGUAGAGAUCUGGAGGAAUACCGGUGGCGAAGGCGGCCCCCUGGACAAAGACUGACGCUCAGGUGCGAAAGCGUGGGGAGCAAACAGGAUUAGAUACCCCUGUAGUCCCUGUCUCUUAUACA